AGUGGCGGACGGGUGAGUAACGCGUGAGAAUCUGCCUUGGGGUCGGGGACAACCACUGGAAACGGUGGCUAAUACCGGAUAAGCCGAUUGGUGAAAGAUUUAUUGCCCGAAGAGGAGCUCGCGUCUGAUUAGCUAGUUGGUGAGGUAAGAGCUCACCAAGGCAGCGAUCAGUAGCUGGUCUGAGAGGACGAUCAGCCACACUGGGACUGAGACACGGCCCAGACUCCUACGGGAGGCAGCAGUGGGGAAUUUUCCGCAAUGGGCGAAAGCCUGACGGAGCAAGACCGCGUGAGGGAGGAAGGCUCUUGGGUUGUAAACCUCUUUUCUCAGGGAAGAAGCUCUGACGGUACCUGAGGAAUCAGCCUCGGCUAACUCCGUGCCAGCAGCCGCGGUAAUACGGAGGAGGCAAGCGUUAUCCGGAAUUAUUGGGCGUAAAGCGUCCGCAGGUGGCGAUUCAAGUCUGCUGUCAAAGCACGGGGCUUAACUCCGUAAAGGCAGUGGAAACUGAAUAGCUAGAGUGCCGUAGGGGUAGAGGGAAUUCCCGGUGUAGCGGUGAAAUGCGUAGAGAUCGGGAAGAACAUCGGUUGCGAAAGCGCUCUACUGGACGGCAACUGACACUCAGGGACGAAAGCUAGGGGAGCGAAUGGGAUUAGAUACCCC
rnacentral:rRNA from 1 species